GAUGAACGCUGGCGGCGUGCUUAACACAUGCAAGUCGAACGGAAAGGCCCUGCUUUUGUGGGGUGCUCGAGUGGCGAACGGGUGAGUAACACGUGAGUAACCUGCCCUUGACUUUGGGAUAACUUCAGGAAACUGGGGCUAAUACCGGAUAGGAGCUCCUGCUGCAUGGUGGGGGUUGGAAAGUUUCGGCGGUUGGGGAUGGACUCGCGGCUUAUCAGCUUGUUGGUGGGGUAGUGGCUUACCAAGGCUUUGACGGGUAGCCGGCCUGAGAGGGUUACCGGCCACAUGACGACUAAGGGACGGCCCAGACUCCUACGUGAGGCAGCGGGGGGGAAUAUUGCACAGUGAGCGGGAGCCUGAGACGACGACGCCGCGUGCGGAAUGACGGCCUGCGGGUUAUGAACCGCUUUCUCCUGAGACGAGGCGUUAGUGACGGUAAUGGAUAAAGAAGCACCGGCUAACUACGUG
rnacentral:rRNA from 1 species